ensembl:lncRNA
UACUGGAGUGAUAGAGGUAGAUAUGUAUAGGGGGAAGGAGACAGGGAUACUGGAGUGAUGGAGGUAGAUAUGUAUAGGGGGAAGGGGAUACUGGAGUGAUGGAGGUAGAUAUGUAUAGGGGGAAGGAGACAGGGAUACUGGAGUGAUGGAGGUAGAUAUGUAUAGGGGGAAGGGGAUACUGGAGUGAUGGAGGUAGAUAUGUAUAGGGGGAAGGGGAUACUGGAGUGAUGGAGGUAGAUAUGUAUAGGGGGAAGGGGAUACUGGAGUGAUGAAGGGAGAUAUGUAUGGGGGAAGGGGAUACUGGAGUGAUGGAGGUAGAUAUGUAUGGGGGAAGGGGAUACUGGAGUGAUGGAGGUAGAUAUGUAUGGGGGAAGGGGAUACUGGAGUGAUGGAGGUAGAUAUGUAUGGGGGAAGGGGAUACUGGAGUGAUGGAGGUAGAUAUGUAUGGGGGAAGGGGAUACUGGAGUGAUGGAGGUAGAUAUAGUAUAUCAC